AGAAUCUGCACAAAGUGUAUUAAUUAUACUGGGGGACAUUUUUAUUGCUGCAUCCCUCACUCGUCAUGGACAUUCCCUUCUUCGAGAGCAAACCCUGGGAAAUACUACCCUGCCGUUGUUCCAAUUCGAAGAACCAAUGAAGUACCACAUGUUGUUUCACACCCGGUAAACCAAGCGUUCUGAUGAAUAACAAUUAUAUUGGAUAAAAUUUAAUGCGAAUUUUUAAAUCAACCAACAUCACGUGCCUUCUGGGAAAAAUUUCUCCGGUAUCAAUUUCACCGGCCGGGAUAAAAAAGCUCACCGGUCACG